UUUGGUUAAGUUAGAAAGGGCGCACGGUGGAUGCCUUGACACUAGGAGUCGAUGAAGGACGGGACUAACGCCGAUAUGCUUCGGGGAGCUGUAAGUAAGCUUUGAUCCGAAGAUUUCCGAAUGGGGAAACCCACCAUACGUAAUGGUAUGGUAUCCUUAUCUGAAUACAUAGGGUAAGGAAGACAGACCCAGGGAACUGAAACAUCUAAGUACCUGGAGGAAGAGAAAGCAAAUGCGAUUUCCUGAGUAGCGGCGAGCGAAACGGAACAUAGCCCAAACCAAGAGGCUUGCCUCUUGGGGUUGUAGGACAUUCUAUACGGAGUUACAAAGGAACGAGGUAGACGAAGCGACCUGGAAAGGUCCGUCGUAGAGGGUAACAACCCCGUAGUCGAAACUUCGUUCUCUCUUGAAUGUAUCCUGAGUACGGCGGAACACGUGAAAUUCCGUCGGAAUCUGGGAGGACCAUCUCCCAAGGCUAAAUACUCCCUAGUGAUCGAUAGUGAACCAGUACCGUGAGGGAAAGGUGAAAAGCACCCCGGAAGGGGAGUGAAAGAGAUCCUGAAACCGUGUGCCUACAAAUAGUCAGAGCCCGUUAACGGGUGAUGGCGUGCCUUUUGUAGAAUGAACCGGCGAGUUACGAUCCCGUGCGAGGUUAAGCUGAAGAGGCGGAGCCGCAGCGAAAGCGAGUCUGAAUAGGGCGUUUAGUACGUGGUCGUAGACCCGAAACCAGGUGAUCUACCCAUGUCCAGGGUGAAGUUCAGGUAACACUGAAUGGAGGCCCGAACCCACGCACGUUGAAAAGUGCGGGGAUGAGGUGUGGGUAGCGGAGAAAUUCCAAUCGAACCUGGAGAUAGCUGGUUCUCCCCGAAAUAGCUUUAGGGCUAGCCUUAAGUGUAAGAGUCUUGGAGGUAGAGCACUGAUUGGACUAGGGGUCCUCAUCGGAUUACCGAAUUCAGUCAAACUCCGAAUGCCAAUGACUUAUCCUUAGGAGUCAGACUGCGAGUGAUAAGAUCCGUAGUCAAAAGGGAAACAGCCCAGACCGCCAGCUAAGGUCCCAAAGUGUGUAUUAAGUGGAAAAGGAUGUGGAGUUGCUUAGACAACUAGGAUGUUGGCUUAGAAGCAGCCACCAUUUAAAGAGUGCGUAAUAGCUCACUAGUCGAGUGACUCUGCGCCGAAAAUGUACCGGGGCUAAAUACACCACCGAAGCUGCGGAUUGAUACCAAUGGUAUCAGUGGUAGGGGAGCGUUCUAAGGACAGUGAAGUCAGACCGUAAGGACUGGUGGAGUGCUUAGAAGUGAGAAUGCCGGUAUGAGUAGCGAAAGACGGGUGAGAAUCCCGUCCACCGAAUGCCUAAGGUUUCCUGAGGAAGGCUCGUCCGCUCAGGGUUAGUCAGGACCUAAGCCGAGGCCGACAGGCGUAGGCGAUGGACAACAGGUUGAUAUUCCUGUACCACCUCUUUAUCGUUUGAGCAAUGGAGGGACGCAGAAGGAUAGAAGAAGCGUGCGAUUGGUUGUGCACGUCCAAGCAGUUAGGCUGAUAAGUAGGCAAAUCCGCUUAUCACAUAGGCUGAGCUGUGAUGGGGAAGCUCCUUAUGGAGCGAAGUCUUUGAUUCCCCGCUGCCAAGAAAAGCUUCUAGCGAGAUAAAAGGUGCCUGUACCGCAAACCGACACAGGUAGGCGAGGAGAGAAUCCUAAGGUGUGCGAGAGAACUCUGGUUAAGGAACUCGGCAAAAUGACCCCGUAACUUCGGGAGAAGGGGUGCUUUCUUAACGGAAAGCCGCAGUGAAUAGGCCCAAGCGACUGUUUAGCAAAAACACAGCUCUCUGCGAAGCCGUAAGGCGAAGUAUAGGGGGUGACACCUGCCCGGUGCUGGAAGGUUAAGGAGAGGGGUUAGCGUAAGCGAAGCUCUGAACUGAAGCCCCAGUAAACGGCGGCCGUAACUAUAACGGUCCUAAGGUAGCGAAAUUCCUUGUCGGGUAAGUUCCGACCCGCACGAAAGGUGUAACGAUUUGGGCACUGUCUCAACCAGAGACUCGGUGAAAUUAUAGUACCUGUGAAGAUGCAGGUUACCCGCGACAGGACGGAAAGACCCCGUGGAGCUUUACUGUAGCCUGAUAUUGAAUUUUGGUACAGUUUGUACAGGAUAGGCGGGAGCCAUUGAAACCGGAGCGCUAGCUUCGGUGGAGGCGCUGGUGGGAUACCGCCCUGACUGUAUUGAAAUUCUAACCUACGGGUCUUAUCGACCCGGGAGACAGUGUCAGGUGGGCAGUUUGACUGGGGCGGUCGCCUCCUAAAGUGUAACGGAGGCGCCCAAAGGUUCCCUCAGAAUGGUUGGAAAUCAUUCGUAGAGUGCAAAGGCAUAAGGGAGCUUGACUGCGAGACCUACAAGUCGAGCAGGGACGAAAGUCGGGCUUAGUGAUCCGGUGGUUCCGCAUGGAAGGGCCAUCGCUCAACGGAUAAAAGCUACCCCGGGGAUAACAGGCUUAUCUCCCCCAAGAGUCCACAUCGACGGGGAGGUUUGGCACCUCGAUGUCGGCUCAUCGCAUCCUGGGGCUGUAGUCGGUCCCAAGGGUUGGGCUGUUCGCCCAUUAAAGCGGUACGCGAGCUGGGUUCAGAACGUCGUGAGACAGUUCGGUCCCUAUCCGUCGUGGGCGUAGGAAAUUUGAGAGGAGCUGUCCUUAGUACGAGAGGACCGGGAUGGACGCACCGCUGGUGUACCAGUUGUUCUGCCAAGGGCAUAGCUGGGUAGCUAUGUGCGGAAGGGAUAAGUGCUGAAAGCAUCUAAGCAUGAAGCCCCCCUCAAGAUGAGAUUUCCCAUAGCGUAAGCUAGUAAGAUCCCUGAAAGAUGAUCAGGUUGAUAGGUUCGAGGUGGAAGCAUGGUGACAUGUGGAGCUGACGAAUACUAAUAGAUCGAGGACUUAACCAUAUAA
rnacentral:rRNA from 1 species